ACUGUUAGACAGAAACCUAAAAGACCUUGUUUGAACAAGUGUCAAACCUUUAUUUUUCUUAAACAACCUCUGAAACAUCCACAUCACAACUUGGUUCCGGACUCUAGAGCUCCAUCGUCGACUUCUUCUUACCUGUUGCAAUACAAAACAAAAGCCUGAAAGUUAAAUCGGUAAACACUAAAGGAAAACAAAGACACAGACAACAUCAAUCCUCCACAAUCCACAUCACUUUGAUGUCGUAUUUAUUUAUAAGCUUCGCUUACAAGUCACUGAGAUAUGUCAAUUUCACCUCCUCGUUGAUUGGGUCUUAUCAUCAAGACAUCAACCUCGUUCUUCAUCAUAGGAUAUGACUCUCUCACUGUUUAUAAAAAAAAGUUUCUAGUGAUUCGAGAAAGCAAACAUGUGAAGCUUCCAUAAAAAGCAAGACGAGCUAGACAAAGAAGAAGAUGCUGAUCUUUCUAAAUCCAAUGGACAUCACUGAAGACAAGGUUCUUGUGUGUGUUUUCUCUGAGACUAAUUAAUCACAUAAAGUACGUGUGUUCUGUAUAUAUUAUAUGUUGCAAUUUCUUUUUCGAAAUUAAGAAAUCGUUUGUAAAACUAUUAAUCGGAAAUAGUAUUUUAUUUUUUUAAACUGAGAAUGUUUUUUUAUUCUUUUUGGAAUGCAAUCUGAAAUUGUAAUUUCCAUUUUUUUCUAAAAGAAUAGAAUUAUAACAAGACUAAUAAUAUUUGUUAUAAUUCUAACAAAUAUUACAAAAUCACUAAAUUUUGUUUGUGGCGUCCGAAAAUCACUAAUUAAAAACAGAAGCGGAAGCUUAAGCGAUGUGCUUUUAAUUGAAGACUGCUUUAGAGCGGAAGCUUAACCGAUGAAACGCAGCGUUUUGUGAUCGGUCGGAAAGCGGCUACCUUUGUUGCCUUACAGAAUCUGUUCUGUUUCUUUUACUCUCUCCUUGCAAACCCACGAUACAGACAGGCCUGGAGGAGACAGACAGAACAAAAGACAAGAGAAUUGUCCAUGGACGACAAGGACAGCGGCGAAGCUGACGUUUACGCGGCUGCGGAGACAGAAAGGGGCGAGAAAGUGGAACCCGAGAAGGAGCUGUGUCACGGUGACGAUGAUGGAUUGAGUCAACUCAGAGGCGAAGAAUCACUUGCGGAUAUGGAAGGCCUACCGGUGCGAGAAACCCUAGCUAAGGAUCACGUUGAAGGUAACGGGUUUAUCCCCCGGAUGAUUCAUUGUUGCUCAAAGAUUGGUUGUUGUUGUUGUGUUAUUCAAGAUUUUGUGUUUAAAGUCGUACAUGAAUACCGUACCGCUUUGAGAAUUCUCUUGGGAGUUGAGCCUUCACACACGUGAAGCGGCCUAUGUAACGUUAUCCUAUCUUGGAAACAAGCCAAAAAGAAACAUUAGGCAUAUGAACGUACACAUCACAUUAGCCCGAGUAUACAUUAUUUCGCAGCAAAUUCACAAUAAUAAACUACCAACCAACUAUAACUUAAAGAAGCACGAAAUAAGAAUUUGACCAAAACAAAAAUCAGAUUGAUUGAACUUUUUUCGAUGGUACAAAGAAAUCAAAAGUAAAAAGCUUGGAGCAACAUUGAUUAAAUAAUUAAACAGAAAAAAAGAAGAAGAAACAUUAUGCAGAUUUUGAAAACCUAAUUAAUCUGAGCUCUAAAACAUACUCAUCCUCAUCAAACUUGGUUUCCGAACUCGAAAACGUCUGGUGCCACCAAUGUAUCUCGAUUUCACCUUCUUGUUGGCUUCUCCAUCAACCACUUUCUUCAUCAUAGGAUGUAGCUCGACUAUUUCACCAUUUAUCAAAUCAGUUAUUGGUGGCAGUAGAUAACGAGCAUGCGAAGCUUCCACAAACAAGACGAGGGCAACAAAGAAGAAGAAGAUCUUUCCGAAUCUUAUGGACAUUGUUGGAGGCAAGGUUACUUAGGGCUCGUGUUUUGUUUUUGUGAGACAAUUGUGUUCUCUCUAUAGUAUAUAUAUAUAUAUAUAUAUAUGUUGCACAAUCCUUUUACUAAUAGGAAAUUGUUUUUUAAAACUAAUAAUUGGAAAUAAUAUUUGUAAUUUUUUAAUCAUAGAUUGCAAUUUCCUUUUUAUAUAUAUAGAUUGUAAGUUUUUAAUCUGGGAAAAGCAUAUCUUCAACUAUGAAAAAUAUAUGCCUUUUGGAAGAAAAUAUAUAGUUUAACACACCCAAUGCACAUAACCAUCAUGCAACAAGACUUGUGAUAUUUCGUAUAGUCAUAAAUUCAUAAUAUAUAUUCCCAACUUUCCUGCCACCCUUUUGAAAAUAUAUGCCUUUUGUUUCGUGGUGGUUUCAAGAUCUGACUUGUACAUGGUUUUGUUUAAAAAAAAAAAGUAUAAAUCAAGGUAAGAAGGUGCUUUGGUCUAGUGGUAUAGGAGCUCCAGCUGGAGUGCCCGCCCCUGGGUUCGAGUCUUGGCCACUGCGAAAUUUACAUAUGGGCUGCAGCAUCCGAGACCGAAGACCGUUACACGGUGAACCACAUGGUGACGCCCUGGCAGCGUCCAUGCUCACUUCGGUCUCUAGUCUAGACCACCUCGAUGGAGCCAGAAUACUCGGUUAGCAAAAAAAAAAAAAAAAAUCGAACAAUGUCCAAUUUUAUAUCGGAAACUGUUGACUUUAUAAAAUCCUCGGUUAGAAAAAAAAAAAAAAAAAAGGUGCUUUGGUGGCGAAGUGUUACUCUGCAAAACAUAAGCUUGUUUGGGAAGUGUUGGUACGAGGUCUUAAGAGUAAAAUCGAGAUCCAAUGGUCAGAUAUUGUGGGAUUGAAAGCAAACUGACUUGAAGGACCUGGGACGUUGACUCUACUGGUACAAGAUUCAUUCAUGAUCUUUUCAUUCGUGCGUCCUAAUGGUUUUGUUCAACUCUAAUCUUUGGUUUCUUUUCUGUUUCAGCUUUCUAGGCAGCCUUUGUUUUUUUGGGAAACAAACCCACAGCCUAGGAAACAUACUUUGUGGCAGGCAACUUCACUGGCAUGGAACUUCUUCUGUUUUUUUUUUUUUUUUUGACAAUACUAUGCAUUUUGUGAAACAAUCAGGUUAUUUUUCCAAUGUUUUGUGAACUUUUUUUGUUUUUUUUUUUUUUUUUGACAGCAAGACAUUCACAGACCAUGUUGACUCUGUAAACCAAAUCGGUAACUCCGCAUCCAUAUGAACGACGAAAGACGGUUGUUUCCUAGCAUUACGUGCCAAGCUAUCCGCCCUUUGGUUCUCCGUUCGGGGUACAUGGAUGAUGUCUGAGUUGAGGAAACUUCUUCGUAAAAGCUUGAUAUCUUCCAGGUAGCUUUCAAAUGCUGGCCAUUCUUCUGGUUCCGAAACCAUCUUCACCAAUUGAGAACAAUCCGUUGCAAACGUAACCUGAAACUGUCGUAAGUUCUUCAUACAUUCCAUUGCCCAAAUCAAAGCCUCCACCUCCGAGUGAAGAGGUGAUAGACACGCCCUUACAUUCCUUGCUCCGAGUAAACCAUCAAAAACCGGUAAGGUACUAUACCAUCCUUGUCCCGAAAAUAUCUCCUUCUCCUUCCACGAACCAUCUAUGAAACACCAUCGUCCUGUAGCUUCUAAUAUAGGUCUGGUUUGUACUUGUCGCUCCAUACUUUGAGUAGUGAUUACAUGUGCUUCAGCCCAAAGUGUCGAUUCCAGUUCUGCUAAUCGAAGUGUUUCCCUUGGAUCAAUAUCCAGAUUACUAAACACCUUAUUGUUCCUACCUUUCCAUAUAUACCAUAAUAUCCAUGCGAAUUGGUGAUCAUCCAUCUUUGUAGUAACUCUCCAAAAGAGAUGAUCCAUGUUACCAAAAAACGAACAAGUAGGAAAAUAGUUCUGAUUCGAUGGUAUCUUAGAUAAAGCCCACACUUGACGUGCUGGAGGGCAUUCAAAAAACACAUGAUUUAUUGAUUCCUCCGGGUCUCCACAUUGAGCACAACAAAUAUCUCCUUGUAUCCCUCUCCCCCGAAGAUUCUUCAUUACCGUUAUACAACCCGAAAGGAGUUGCCAUAGGAAAUGCUUUAACUUCGGCGGGCACCGCACUUCCCAACAGAAAGCUUUUAACGUAUCCACUGUGGGUCCAUAAAAAUCUGGUGGUUUUUCUUUAUCAGGAUAGACUCGUUCCACUUGAUACCCUGAUUUAACCGAAUAUUUUCCAUUAUUAGUGAAAUGCCAUCCAUUCCUAUCUUCCAUCUGGUGUCUACUUAAGGGAAUACUUUCAAUAAUCUUUGCAUCAUGAGGAUCCACCAAAGCCCUAAUUACCUCGAUAUUCCAAGUUCGGGAUUCCAAAUUAAUGAGGGAAUCCACUGUGAGAUCCGGGUAACUGUUGUGAAUAUUUUUGUUUGCUGGUCUCGGACGAGUGGUUGGGAUCCAAGGAUCAUUCCAUACCGAAAUAGAUGAACCUGUUCCCACCCUUUUAAUUAGUCCUUUGCAAACCAGAGAUCUAGCAGAAAUCAUACUUCUCCAGCCAUAUGACGGGGAGUAAGAUCGGAUCGGUUCAAGGGGUGAAGCAUUCCUAUAGUACCGUCCUUUAAAGACUCUCGAGAAAAGAGUGUUUGGCUUCUCAAUCAGCCUUCACAGUUGCUUUCCAAGCAUCGCCGUGUUAAAAUCCAUAAGAUCCUUAAAACCUAAACCACCAUUAUCUUUAGGGAGACAUAAUUUAUCCCAUGAUUUCCAAUGCAUUCCUUUUGUGCUUCCCCCUGGGCUCCACCAAAAUUUCGCUACAGCACUCGUUAAUUUUUUAACUGUAGCUUUUGGUAAUCUAUAAACAGACAUGACAUGAUUUGGCAGAGCCGUAACCACCGACUUAAUGAUCACCUCCUUCCCACAUUAUCUUCUGCUUGUUACUCAUUGUUUUAUGAUUCUUCUUUUUCAGCUGUUUAAGAUUGAUGUUUUGAAAGCUUGGAAGUCUGUGUUGGCAUCUGUGAUUUCCUACGCUUUGGGGCUCUUCAUGAUCGCAAAAGCGCCAUGGUAUCUGCUUCUGUUGGCUUGGGCUUGGACAGGAACUGCAGUUACAGGGGUUGAUCUUUCUUCUAGUUCUUUGUGAUAGGACAUGAUUGUGCUCAUGAAUCAUUUUCAAAGAACAAAUUGGUUGAAGACAUUGUGGGUACUCUAGCUUUCCUACCUCUUGUCGACCCCUAUGAGCCAUGGAGGUUUAAGCAUGACCGUCAUCACGCCAAAACCAACACGUAACUCUUACUUACUUAACACUGUUAUAUAUAUACAUGUUCACAAUUGGAUAAGAGAUGAGACGUCUUACUUUUGUUCUCUAUAGGUUAGUUCGUGACACAGCUUAACAACCAGUUCCACCAGAAGAGUUUUUGAUUCAUCACCAGUCCUGCGAAAAGCAAUCAUUCUUGGAUAUAGUCCAAUCCGACCUUGGCUGUCCAUAGCUCACUGGUAUAUAUAUACAUGAAGCUCUUUUACUCUUCUUUUCUCCGUAUACCUGUUUACUUAAUAGUAAAUGUUGUGAUAGGGUGAACUGGCAUUUCAAUCUGAGAAAGUUCAGACCAAGCGAAGUGAAUAGGGUGAAGAUUAGCUUGGCUUGUGUUUUCGCCUUCAUGGCCGUUGGGUGGCCACUGAUCAUAUACAAAUUUUGGCAUAUUAGGAUGGGUUGAGUUCUGGUUGAUGCCAUGGUUGGGCUAUCACUUUUGGGUAAAUGCUUCUCUCUGUUCUCUCUCUCCUUUUUCGUUUGAGAAAGCAUCAUAAGCCACAAUGGUUACACAUUUUUUGUUUCUCUAUAGAUGAGCACGUUCACGAUGGUUCAUCAUACGGCUCAAGCACAAUGCAGAAGAGUGUGACACCAUGCCUACAAAGAUAAUGCAACCAAACUAUAAUUAUGUUUAGAUAGUAUUGUAUAGAGGAAAUUAAAUAAAGAGCACCAAAAGGGUGUGAGACAAGUUCUAGAGAUAAGUUUCAGCAUGAAAUUUAACGAAAGAGUUACUCUUUAUACCUGAUCAGUUCUUUAGCCUAAACUAUGAGACCAUUUAAAGAUACUUUGUCACCUGAAAAACAAAGACACAGAAAACAUCAAUCCUCCACGUCACUUUACAGGAGCCGGAGAGCUUUCGCUGGAUGCCAAGAGUCUGUUUACCAAGCUUUCACCAACUAAAUUUUGCUUGAACGUGAUCAGGAUGCCUACCGGUAAAGCUUAUUGAGAAGAAAUGAAGAAUGCACUCCGAUCAACAGCUAAUGGCAAGCAAAGAUACUGAGAAAUUUUUGGUGAAACUAUCUUGUUUAGCGUUGUGAUGCGUCUUUGUAAUGGGCUAGUUUUGGGCAUUUGUUAUAUUUGAUAUAUAAAAAACUGUAACAAUCACAUAAUUGAUUCUCAUUUUCUGUUUGAGAGAAUUUGACAUUAAAGACAAAUGAGAGAAGUUGAAGUUGAAGUCUAUAGACUAAAAUAUUGCUUUUCAGUUGCUUAGUCAUGGUCAUCAGUGUUUUUCUCGCGUUUAGGUGUCAAAAUUCUUAGAUAUAAUUGGUUUUUGGGUAUAUUGACUAGACUAAAAUUCAACAUAUUUAAGUGAAAUUGUUCUCAUAGCAAACAUUUUUAGUAGUUUCUAAGUUAGUCAAUUCAUCAGCACAAUAAAUCAGUUUAUUUAUUUAGAUGUAAACGAAAUUAUUCUCAUAGCAAACAUUUUUAGUAGUUUCUAAGUUAGUCAAUUCAUCAGCACAAUAAAUCAGUUUAUUUAUUUAGAUGUAAACGAAAUUAUUCUCAUAGCAAACAUUUUUAGUAGUUUCUAAGUUAGUCAAUUCAUCAGCACAAUAAAUCAGUUUAUUUAUUUAGAUGUAAACGAAAUUAUUCUCAUAGCAAACAUUUUUAGUAGUUUCUAAGUUAGUCAAUUCAUCAUCACAAUAAAUCAGUUUGUUUAUUUAGAUGUUAAUGAAACAUUUGUAUAGCGUAGGUUAGACACAAAUAGAAGAUAGAUGUUGAAAAACAACAAAGAAAAUAAUAAAACUAAAUGUAAGUUUUAAGAAAUAAACUCACUCAUCUUGUGAAUGUAAUGGCUUUAGAGUACUGAACAAUGUUUCAUUUAUAUGCACCUUCAAAAUCAUGAUAUAUUCUUAUAAGACUAUUUGAUUAUAAAAAUGAGUCCCCAAAGCAUAAUAGCAUUGACUAUGUGUGUGAACUUCCUUUUUACCUCCAUUACGUUCUUUAACAUGCACCACUCCAAUAAGAUUUAAGUCAAAAAUAUUACGUUAUGGAUCUCAUGUGUUUAAUUUAGGUUUAAAUAUAUAUAUAUAUAUAUAUAUAUAUAUAUAUAUUUAACAAAAAUAACAUAAUUAAAAAGAGGAUUUAGAUAACAAUUACAAAACGAUCUAGGUUCAUAUUGUUAGACAAAAACCUAAAAGACAUUGUUUGAACAAGUGUCAAACCUUUAGUUUCCUUAAACAACCUGUAAAACAUCCGCAUCACAACUUGGUUUCCGACUCUAGAGCUCCAUCGUCGACUUCUUCUUACAUGUUGCAAUACAAAACAAAAGCCUGAAAGUUAAAUCGGUAAACACUAAGUCAUCAAGGUAUGUCAAUUUCACCUCCUCGUUGAUUGGGUCUUCAUCAUCAAGACAUCAACCUCUUUCUUCAUCAUAGGAUAUGACUCUCUCACUGUUUAUAAAAAAAAGUUUCUAGUGAUUCGAGAAAGCAAACAUGUGAAGCUUCCAUAAAAAGC
rnacentral:lncRNA from 1 species